GAUGAACGCUGGCGGCGUGCCUAUUACAUGCAAGUCGAGCGAACGGACGAGAAGCUUGCUUCUCUGAUGUUAGCGGCGGACGGGUGAGUAACACGUGGAUAACCUACCUAUAAGACUGGGAUAACUUCGGGAAACCGUAGCUAAUACCGGAUAAUAUUUUGAACCGCAUGGUUCAAAAGUGAAAGACGGUCUUGCUGUCACUUAUAGAUGGAUCCGCGCUGCAUUAGCUAGUUGGUAAGGUAACGGCUUACCAAGGCAACGAUGCAUAGCCGACCUGAGAGGGUGAUCGGCCACACUGGAACUGAGACACGGUCCAGACUCCUACGGGAGGCAGCAGUAGGGAAUCUUCCGCAAUGGGCGAAAGCCUGACGGAGCAACGCCGCGUGAGUGAUGAGGGUCUUCGGAUCGUAAAACUCUGUUAUUAGGGAAGAACAUAUGUGUAAGUAACUGUGCACAUCUUGACGGUACCUAAUCAGAAAGCCACGGCUAACUACGUG
rnacentral:rRNA from 1 species